UAAUAAUAAUAAAAAAAAAAACUGUUUUGAAGUAUAAAUGAAAAAACCCCUAUCCUUAAAAAAAGAUAAAAACUGUUUACAAUCUUUAACGACACCACCAAAAUUGAAUGAUAAAAUAUUCAAAUUUCUAACAACUUGUACUAAUACUAGACAAUCAGAUUCGAUAAUACUAACACCGAAAAAAUCGCGCUUCAACCAUGAUAACACUUCCUUGGCAGCCUUGAGUUUAGCAAUAUCUCCAGUUUUAAAUCUAAUAAAUUUGAUCAAGCUGUCAUUUUGAGUAAUUUCUGCAUAACUUUUAGCUUCUUGCUAUGUUAUCCUUUAUUAUAUUCUUUUUCUUUCAAAUUCUUAUCUAUUUGAUACAAGAAGAAACACUUGUACUGAAGUAAGCAACCACACAAACUUGCAAUCUUCGAUUCUUCAUCACCACCCUCAACUGUUCACUAAAAUAAUGUUUAUUCUCAAGGUUAGCCUUUUGACUAGAUUGACUUUUCUGUCAGCACUCAUGUAUUCUCAUUGCAACUCCACAAACUACUAAAUCCAAUAGCAUUUUAGUAUCAUUUUCUUUUAUAAGAAAAAAAAAAUAAACGUAAUGAGAAAUCCACGUGUUACAGAUAAUUAGCUACAUGGGAAGAAAAUAAUUGUAAACUUUUAAUUUACAUCCAAAUACUCGCAACACAAUAUUAUUAUUACACACAAUACCACAAUAUUAUUAUAUUACAUCAUCAUAAUAAUCUAAUGAACACCACAGCAUUAGCAGCUUACUCAAUUAAACAACACUACACUUACUAACUAUACACACACAAGUAGUCCUAAGGUGGAUAAUACACACUGAUUCAUUCAAUCUUUUCAGCUUGGGAUGGCAGAUACUUUUUGGUCAACAUCAUCAGGGUAGUUGGUGAUUUGAUAACGACGAGGAACCUCCCAGUGUUUUAGUGCAGGCAUGGCCUUCUUCACAUCCUCCCAAUCCAAUUUCAGCAUCUUCAGUUCCUUCAAACACAAACCUUCAAGUACACCCCAUUUGUAAGCUGAGCAUUGGUCAUUUUCAAAUUUAGGAAUGAAGUCUGUGAUGUCUGCAUCUUCAAUACAAAGAUAUUGUAACUCUUUGAGAGUUGAAGGAUGAACCCAAUUGGGUAGCCUGGCUCUGUGGAAGCUCCUAAGAUACAGCUCCCUCAGGCUUUCUGGAGGGCACAGAAAAUUUAUCUUUUUAAAUACUUUGUCAUCUCUGCAUUGAUCAGCAUCAAUAUCAAGAACCUUGAGAUUCUUGAGCUGCGGAAGGAUAUCUUUUAGAUCAUUAUUUGAGAUUUGAAUCUCAUCAUUGCUUAGAACAAUAUGUAGCAUUCUCAGCUGGGUUAAUAUUUUUAGCUCAAGAAGCCCGCAAACCUUGGGUUUUGUCUGGCCAACCACUCUGAACCCUGUAAGCUCUUGAAGCUCAGAUAACAUCUUUAAACCC